CUCCCACAUUUGGAAAUUUCCUUCGACCAUGAUGCUUCCCCUACGUGGAAUGGAAUUGCGUCCCUCUUAUGUUUAAAAUUCGUCCCCACUGGGAACUUGGACUCGUUUCUUGUUGAAUACGAAUGUCUCGCUUGGCAAGGAGAUUCUUCGUCUCAGUGGGCCCCCUUCAACCCCCACAUGAAGUUACCCCCAUGAUCGUGGAGGCCUUCACCCAGCAGUGGAUUGACAAAGCGAUUGAUCGUUACUUCAGGAGUGGAUCAAAGAUCUUCCUUACCAAACCGCACCUCUCACCUGGCCUCAGCCAAAACACAGCCACACUGCUCUCAAGGCCCGCUUGGUUCGUUUUAUCCCCACACUCAGACAUUGC